rnacentral:rRNA from 1 species
UGGGGAAUCUUGCGCAAUGGGCGAAAGCCUGACGCAGCAACGCCGCGUGCGGGAUGAAGGCCUUCGGGUUGUAAACCGCUUUCAGCAGGGACGAAUCUGACUGUACCUGCAAAAGAAGCCCCGGCUAACUACGUGCCAGCAGCCGCGGUAAUACGUAGGGGGCAAGCGUUAUCCGGAUUCAUUGGGCGUAAAGCGCGCGUAGGCGGCUUGCUAAGUCAGGUGUGAAAACCGGGGGCUCAACCCGCGGCCUGCACCUGAAACUGGCAGGCUUGAGUCUGGUAGAGGGAAAUGGAAUUCCGAGUGUAGCGGUGAAAUGCGCAGAUAUUCGGAAGAACACCAGUGGCGAAGGCGGUUUCCUGGGCCAUGACUGACGCUGAGGCGCGAAAGCUAGGGGAGCGAACA